UACAGAGGGUGCGAGCGUUAAUCGGAAUUACUGGGCGUAAAGCGUACGUAGGCGGCUUUGUAAGUUAGAGGUGAAAGCCCGGGGCUCAACUCCGAAAUUGCCUUUAAGACUGCAUCGCUUGAAUCAUGGAGAGGUGAGUGGAAUUCCGAGUGUAGAGGUGAAAUUCGUAGAUAUUCGGAAGAACACCAGUGGCGAAGGCGACUCACUGGACAUGUAUUGACGCUGAGGUACGAAAGCGUGGGGAGCAAACAGG
rnacentral:rRNA from 1 species